AUACCGGCGGCUCGAGUGGUGGCCACUAUUACUGGGCUUAAAGCGUCCGUAGCUGGAUUGUUAAGUCUCUUGGGAAAUCCACCGGCUCAACCGAUGGGCGUUCAGGAGAAACUGGCAAUCUAGGGACCGGGAGAGGUGAGAGGUACUCCAGGGGUAGGAGUGAAAUCCUGUAACCCUUGGGGGACCACCUGUGGCGAAGGCGUCUCACUAGAACGGCUCCGACAGUGAGGGACGAAAGCUGGGGGAGCAAACCGGAUUAGAUACCCGGGUAGUCCCAGCUGUAAACGAUGCGCGUUAGGUGUAUCGGUGACCACGAGUCAUCGAGGUGCCGAAGGGAAACCGUGAAACGUGCCGCCUGGGAAGUACGGUCGCAAGGCUGAA
rnacentral:rRNA from 1 species